GAUGAACGCUAGCGACAGGCUUAACGCAUGCAAGUCGAGGGGCAGCAUAGAAGUAGCAAUACUUUGGUGGCGACCGGCGCACGGGUGAGUAACGCGUAUGCAACCUACCUAUCAGAGGGGAAUAACCCGGCGAAAGUCGGACUAAUACCGCAUAAAACAGGGGCACCGCAUGGUGAUAUUUGUUAAAGAAAUUCGCUGAUAGAUGGGCAUGCGUUCCAUUAGGUAGUUGGUGAGGUAACGGCUCACCAAGCCGACGAUGGAUAGGGGAACUGAGAGGUUGGUCCCCCACACUGGUACUGAGACACGGACCAGACGCAUACGGGAGGCAGCAGUGAGGAAUAUUGGUCAAUGGGCGGGAGCCUGAACCAGCCAAGUCGCGUGAAGGAAGAAGGAUCUAUGGUUCGUAAACUUCUUUUGCAGGGGAAUAAAGUGCAGGACGUGUCCUGUUUUGUAUGUACCCUGAGAAUAAGGAUCGGCUAACUCCGUGCCAGCCGCCGCCGUAACAC
rnacentral:rRNA from 1 species